AAAGUCUUUUGAGAAUGAGAAUGCUAUUUCUUCAAAAACCAGUUAUAUUUAUUUAUUGAAAUGCUUUAUUUAUUGUGGCGUGUGAUCCGAUGAUCCAGAAACAUCAACACAGAAAUGCUGUUUUUCCAGCCAUAUAGUCAUUCUAAAUUAAUAUUUUCAUUUUGGAUAGUGAAGUUUGGCUGAUGUUUUAUGCCAGAGGUGUUGAAUUAUUAUUAUUUUUUUUUUAUCAUUUGCAUUUAGGCAAUACUAUGCAUAUCUAACAGACACCCAGUGCAAAAGAGUAGGAACACAGUGUUGGGUGUUUGGGUAUUUUCUCUUGGCUUUAAGCUCCAGGUCUGAUGACUAGAGUUAACAAACCUCACUUUUGUAUUUGGCCAUUGCUUUCCUGGAAGCUCUGGCUUGUAUCAAAUUUGGACAAGACUUGUUCUCUAAAACACAGGUUCUUUAUGUUGUCCUUUGGCUUUUGUGUUUGGCUUUUAUUACUUUACUCUGUCUGUAUGGAAUGAUUUGGUACGAGCAGAAUUAUGGGAGGAGACUGAAGAACAUUGCAGACUGUGACGACAGCACCAUUAUUGACACGUAUGACAACAUUCUUGAAACUUCCAAAGCAGAGAAGAACUCCAGUAGUAAUUCCACUUCAUCAAGGAGAAGAAAAGGAGGCUCUGGAAAAAACAAAACAAUCAAUGGAACAAGCGGCAAGAAGUGACCACAGCUAGAUUCAGUGGACCACAAGGGGUUAAAGAAAGAAUAUGUCAUAAGCGGAUGAA